rnacentral:rRNA from 1 species
GCUUAACACAUGCAAGUCGAACNCUGAAGCCUGGUGCUUGCACGGGUGGAUGAGUGGCGAACGGGUGAGUAACACGUGAGUAACCUGCCCCUGACUUCGGGAUAAGCCCGGGAAACUGGGUCUAAUACCGGAUACGACGGCGGACGCAUGUCUGGUGGUGGAAAGUUUUUUCGGUUGGGGAUGGGCUCGCGGCCUAACAGUUUGUUGGUGAGGUAAUGGCUCACCAAGACGACGACGGGUAGCCGGCCUGAGAGGGCGACCGGCCACACUGGGACUGAGACACGGCCCAGACUCCUACGGGAGGCAGCAGUGGGGAAUAUUGCACAAUGGGGGAAACCCUGAUGCAGCGACGCAGCGUGCGGAUGACGGCCUUCGGGUUGUAAACCGCUUUCAGCAGGGAAGAAGCGCAAGUGACGGUACCUGCAGAAGAAGUACCGGCUAACUACGUGCCAGCAGCCGCGGUAAUACGUAGGGUACGAGCGUUGUCCGGAAUUAUUGGGCGUAAAGAGCUCGUAGGUGGUUGGUCACGUCUGCUGUGGAAACGCAACGCUUAACGUUGCGCGUGCAGUGGGUACGGGCUGACUAGAGUGCAGUAGGGGAGUCUGGAAUUCCUGGUGUAGCGGUGAAAUGCGCAGAUAUCAGGAGGAACACCGGUGGCGAAGGCGGGACUCUGGGCUGUAACUGACACUGAGGAGCGAAAGCAUGGGGAGCGAACAGGAUUAGAUACCCUGGUAGUCCAUGCCGUAAACGUUGGGCACUAGGUGUGGGGGGCAUUCCACGUUCUCCGCGCCGUACGUAACGCAUUAAGUGCCCCGCCUGGGGAGUACGGUCGCAAGGCUAAAACUCAAAGGAAUUGACGGGGGCCGCACAAGCGGCGGAGCAUGCGGAUUAAUUCGAUGCAACGGGAAGAAC